CUGAAGUGUGUGGUGGCAUUGCCAGCUGAAAUUGAGGCUGGGGGUGUCGGAGAUUUGAAAUGAGUCAUUUCAAGAGCGAGGAAGUGAAGCUGUGAAAGCAUGUUGGAGGAACCAAGGGCCCGCGCGAGACGUGUGGUUUUGAUUUGGAAAUGAGUCUGGUCACACAGGGGUGCUGGUUCUUGAGCCAUAGUUGGAUCCAACUGGAGUUUCUCCGGUAGACCGGGUUUCACCAUGUUGGCCAGGCUGGUCUCGAAUUCCUGACCUCAAGUGAUCUACCCGCCUCAGCCUCCUAAAGUGCUGGGAUUACAGGCAUGAGCCACUGUGCCAGGCCCCUUCCCAACUUUGGAUUCAGAGCUACAUCCUACCAGAGCCAAAAAGGGGCCACCUCUUCACUGUACAGACGGGCACACCAAAGCCUGGAGAUGUUGGAUGCAGAAGGCGAAAUGUCAGAAGCUGGAGUUCUGCAUCUCAGCUGGAGGGUGAGGUAAGAUUCCUGCUGGUGUUUAUCCCUCUCCUCACUUCCCUCAGCAGCAGCCCCUUUCUCUUCCCCUCCUGCAUCCCUGGCACAAGUGCCUUAAGGCCCUCCCGCUUCAACAUGCCCCCACCCUACAGCCUUUCCUGCAUUUCCCAGUCCUCUGGGGAGUCCCUGCAGAUAGAAAUUCAAGUGCACAGCCACGAGGAACAUCUCCUUGAUGUUAACUAGACUGUGUUUCUUUACAGAUAUCUGGUGGCAGAUCUCCUCAUUCAUUCAUUCAUUCAUUCGUGCACUCAUUUAAUCUUCAUUCAUUCAUUCCAUCUUUCAUUAUUCACUCACUGGGUUUGAGCAACUAAACCAGCCACAAGGGAUGAAAUUCUCCAUCACCGUGAAACUGCUCAUUCACCCAACCAACCAGCUCACUGUUUCUCUCAUUCAUUAUACACCUCCUAAGUCCUGCAUAGGUCUGAGAUGUGGGCUUCGUGUAUGUCUGGCAGGCGCCCGGGCUUUCCCAUCAUGUGUCUAUCCCCCGGGUCACAUCCAUGUCAGGUGGGUACCGCAGUCUAAAGUCCUUGUAUUCUCUUCCACAUACCAGGGCUGAUAAUUUAUCAGUUGCCGUUGAUCAAAGUUCACAAGGCGAAUCUUCAUAAACUUCUAAAGCUGCCUACAGUUUCCAGUAAACAAAUCUCUUUAAAUUUACAAAAGCAAUGCUGCUGAUUGUAAAAAACACGCAGUGCCAAAGCAUACAGAGGAAGGAGACCCGCUUGCAAUUCGCUACCUACAUCCCACUCCUGGGGCCAACAACUAUUGGAAGUGUGGUCACAGCAACACUAGGAUGGCCACUUUCCCUUGGGCCACUCUGCUACUCCCUAGGAGUUAAAGGCCCUGUGAUGAAAGGAAGGCAACGUCCAGGCUGAGGGUAACUUCUCCUCCAGGUCUCCCAAGCCCAUUUCUCAACAUCUUUCUGCUAUCACGGUGAGGGCAACAUCAGCUCCAGGACUUCUCUAAUUGGAACUAGCCACAUCUACACAAAGAACCCACAUGUUUUCUGCCACCCCUGACCAAUCCCCGAAAGUAAAAGGAAACUUCCACUUACGCUUGGGCUCAUUCUCCUACGGCCAACCUUGGCACUAUCUCGUCAGUAACUGCUGCACUCCUUCCAGGGCCCUAUCUCCACUGGGAACCCACACCUGGACAGUCCCUGUUCCUGGCAUCUUUGGGGCUGCCUGUGCCAUCAAGCUGUCCCCAGCUCUGCCACCUGCCUGCGUCCUGAUGCCCCCAGAUGGGCAUUAUUGGGACAGCACUAAAGGAGGCACCCCUGUUGGCACACCAGGGUCAGUUCUACCUCCAAUCCUCCUGGGAGCUUUGGCCAGCAUUGACACGGGGUCCUCUGCCUGGAGAAGGAGGCUGGCAUUGAGUGGGCUGUGGGGGCGCAGU